GAUGAAGAACGUAGCGAAAUGCGAUAAGUAAUGUGAAUUGCAGAAUUCAGUGAAUCAUCGAAUCUUUGAACGCACAUUGCGCCCGCCAGUAUUCUGGCGGGCAUGCCUGUUCGAGCGUCAUUACAACCCUCAGGCCCCCGGGCCUGGCGUUGGGGAUCGGCGGAGCCCCCCGUGGGCACACGCCGUCCCCCAAAUGCAGUGGCGGUCCCGCCGCAGCUUCCAUCGCGUAGUAGCUAACACCUCGCGACUGGAGAGCGGCGCGGCCACGCCGUAAAACACCCAACUCUUCUGAAGUUGACCUCGAAUCAGGUAGGAAUACCCGCUGUACUUAAGCAUAUCAAUAAGCGGAGGA
rnacentral:misc_RNA from 1 species